rnacentral:lncRNA from 1 species
CCGGAUGCUGCCUGCCCAGGCGCGGCCGCUACAACGCCUCACGAACAGGCCGUAAGGUCCAAAGUCAUCGUGUUCAGAAGCGCUCCGAAAAAAUGUCCUCCUGAAAAUAACAAACACUGGCGCGUCGUGACUUGAAAAGGAGAUCACCCGCGCAGAACCGCUCGUCCAUAGUCCAUUGCGAAACCGGUUUCCUUUGCAAAACGACACACGCUACGCGUAAGGUAGGGCUUGCCCAGAAAUUACCAAAGUCUGUAAUGGGUGUGGUGUAAUUAGUGUGGUGCAUUGAUGGAAGGAAGGUAGUUAGAUGCAUUUCAAUGCCGUACAUGUUUAUAAUGCGACUUGAAGGAUUGGACGUACUUAUGCAAAAAGGAAUGGCUGAGAGGAAUAUAGGGUGCUUGAUCAGAAGUCGUGGACAAUACUGGUGUUAAUAAUUUUCCGCGGCCGAGGUGUGUGUGAUUGUUACAGCCGAGGUUACGGCCGAGAUGAUUGCUCACUUGCAUGUCAAGAGAAAUGCAUGAAAUGACAGGCACAUCAAGGAUGUAAUUGGUGUGUCGCGCUGAAACAAGGGCACGACAAUCUAACAAGAAAUGCCUGUUAUUCCAAGUCGUCGGCUGCUGGGUCCCCUAGCGGACACGCUAGACGUGCUGCGUUUUCUGAGUCAGAAGCCUAUACACUUCUGCCAGGCUGGGCAACAUGCAGUUGUAUUCGACACGUUGUUGUGAUGAGUAUAACGUAAAGGCUUAGCAAUUGGUUCAUGGACUGUUACACCAUUUGCGGCACAUAUUCAUAAAAGACGAGUACCGACUGUGACUCUGCCGUAAAAAAUAGCGCAGCGGCGGGUUGGUGGCUUGAGCCGUUCCACGCCAGCUGUGACGAAUAGUCAGCCUGUGUUAACACAUCACUGAUGCGAAAAUAUUCCGAAUCGAUAAAGUAAGAGCCGCGCGAGAGGCGCCACCAAGAAUGACCGAUAACACUACUUUCGGAACAGGCUCCCUCCCCUCUCCUCUCCUCUCCUCUCCUCUCCUCUCCUCUCCUCUCCU